rnacentral:rRNA from 1 species
UACAGAGGUCUCAAGCGUUGUUCGGAUUCAUUGGGCGUAAAGGGUGCGUAGGCGGCCCGGUAAGUCCGCUGUGAAAGUCCAGGGCUCAACCCUGGGAUGCCGGUGGAUACUGUCGGGCUCGAGUCCGGAAGAGGAGUGUGGAAUUCCUGGUGUAGCGGUGAAAUGCGCAGAGAUCAGGAGGAACACCCAUGGCGAAGGCAGCUCUCUGGUCGACCUCUGACGCUGAGACGCGAAAGCGUGGGGAGCGAACGGG